rnacentral:rRNA from 2 species
GACGAGGGGUCCUAGCGUUGUUCGGAAUCAUUGGGCGUAAAGCGUGUGUAGGUGGCUUUGUAAGUCAGGUGUGAAAGCCCAGGGCUUAACCCUGGAAGUGCAUUUGAUACUGCGAAGCUUGAGUACUGGAGAGGAUAGUAGAAUUCCUGGUGUAGUGGUGAAAUACGUAGAUAUCAGGAGGAAUACCGGUGGCGAAGGCGGCUAUCUGGCCAUGUACUGACACUGAGACACGAAAGCGUGGGGAUCAAACAGG